rnacentral:rRNA from 1 species
AUUGAACGCUGGCGGCAGGCCUAACACAUGCAAGUCGAACGAGUGGCGGACGGGUGAGUAAUGUCUGGGCAACUGCCUGAUGGAGGGGGAUAACUACUGGAAACGGUAGCUAAUACCGCAUACCAUCGGAUGUGCCCAGAUGGGAUUACCUAGUAGGUGGGGUAACGGCUCACCUAGGCGACGAUCCCUAGCUGGUCUGCGAGGAGGACCAGCCACACUGGAACUGAGACACGGUCCAGAACCCUACGGUAUGCAGCAGGGGGGAAUAGUUCACAAUGGGGGCAAGACUGAUGCAGCCAUGCCGCGUGUAUGAAGAAGGCCUUCGGGUUGUAAAGUACUUUCAGCGGGGAGGCGUUACCCGCAGAAGAAGCACCGGCUAACUCCGUGCCAGCAGCCGCGGUAAUUC